rnacentral:rRNA from 1 species
UGAUCCUGGCUCAGAAUGAACGUUGGCGACGUGGAUUAGGCAUGCAAGUCGAGCGAGAACCAACGGUGCUUGCACCUGCGGGGACAGCGGCAGACGGGGUAGUCAUACAUAGGUUACGUACCCUCGGGUCCGGGAUAGCCACGGGAAACUGUGAUUAAUACCGGAUAACCUCUGCGGAGCAAAGGUGUGAUUCCGCCCGAGGAGCGGCUUAUGCGUUACUAGGUUGUUGGUGAGGUAAUGGCUCACCAAGCCUUUGAUGACCAGGGGGUGUGAGAGCAUGGCCCCCACCACUGGGACUGAGACACUGCCCAGACACCUACGGGUGGCUGCAGUCGAGAAUCUUCGGCAAUGGACGCAAGUCUGACCGAGCGACGUCGCGUGCGGGAUGAAGGCCCUCGGGUUGUAAACCGCUGUCAGAGGGGAGGAAAUUAUAGAAGGCUAUCCUUCUAUAUUGACCGAGCCUCAGAGGAAGCACGGGCUAAGUUCGUGCCAGCAGCCGCGGUAAUACGAACUGUGCGAACGUUAUUCGGAAUCACUGGGCUUAAAGGGUGCGUAGGCGGUUAUUUAAGUAGGAUGUGAAAUCUCCCGGCUCAACCGGGGAACUGCGUUCUAAACUGGAUAACUUGAGUAAGAUAGAGGUGUGCGGAACUUCCGGGUGGAGCGGUGAAAUGUGUUGAUAUUAGAAGGAACACCGGCGGCGAAAGCGACACACUGGGUCUUUUCUGACGCUGAGGUACGAAAGCCAGGGGAGCAAACGGGAUUAGAUACCCCGGUAGUCCUGGCUGUAAACGUUGAAUACUGGUUGGGAGGGGGCUUGCCCCAUCCCGACGUAGCGAAAGCGUUAAGUAUUCCGCCUGGGGAGUAUGGUCGCAAGGCUGAAACUCAAAGGAAUUGACGGGGGCUCACACAAGCGGUGGAGCAUGCGGCUUAAUUCGAUGCAACCCGAAGAACCUUACCUGGGUUUGACAUCACGGGAAAAGCUGUAGAAAUACAGUGUCCAUUAGGGCCCGUGACAGGUGGUGCAUGGCUGUCGUCAGCUCGUGUCGCGAGAUGUUGGGUUAAGUCCCGCAACGAGCGCAACCCUUAUCCUAUGUUGCCAGCGGUUCGGCCGGGGACUCAUAGGAGACUGCCGGGGAUAACUCGGAGGAAGGUGAGGACGACGUCAAGUCAUCAUGCCCCUUAUAUCCAGGGCUGCACGGAUGCUACAAUGGUCGGUACAACGGGCAGCGAUCUCGUGAGAGUGAGCGAAUCCCUUAAAGCCGGCCCCAGUUCGGAUUGAAGUCUGCAACUCGACUUCAUGAAGCCGGAGUCGCUAGUAAUCGCGGAUCAGCUAAGCCGCGGUGAAUACGUUCUCGGGGAUUGUACACACCGCCCGUCAAGUCACGGAAGUCGGCAACGCCCAAAGUCAGUGGCCUAACCUUCGGGAGGGAGCUGCCUAAGGCGGGGUCGGUAACUGGGACUAAGUCGUAACAAGGUAGCCGU